CUGAACUAGAGGUAGGUGGGGAGCCGCUUGAGAACUAGCAGCAAGGCCGUUGAGGUGUUGGUAUGAACAGAAUUCGGAUCCACGUCCUGCCAUCGAAUCGGGGGCGCGUCAACCCAGUGCCCAGGUCUCAGGAGCCCCUGUCUUGUUCCUUCACACACCGUCCAUGCUCUCAGCCCCGACUCGAAGGGCAGGAGUUUUGCAUUAAGCAUAUCCUCGAAGACAGGAAUGCGCCUUUCAAGCAAUGUAGCUACAUAUCCACCAAGAAUGGAAAGAGAUGCCCUAACGCUGGCCCUAAACCUGAGAAGAAAGAUGGUGUGUCCUUCUGUGCAGAACAUGCCCGUAGGAAUGCCCUGGCACUUCAUGCUCAGAUGAAGAAAAACAACGCUGGACCCAUGGGUGAAACACUUUUGUGCCAACUGAGUUCAUAUGCUAAGACAGAAUUGGGUUCCCAGACCCCAGAGAGUAGUCGCAGUGAAGCUAGCCGAAUCCUGGAUGAAGACAGCUGGAGUGAUGGGGAUCAGGAGCCCAUUACUGUGGAUCAGACAUGGAGAGGUGAUCCUGACAGUGAAGCUGAUAGCAUAGACAGUGAUCAAGAAGACCCCUUAAAACAUGCUGGUGUCUACACAGCUGAAGAGGUGGCCCUGAUCAUGCGUGAGAAACUGAUUCGUUUACAGUCUUUAUACAUUGACCAGUUCAAACGACUUCAGCAUCUGUUGAAAGAGAAGAAACGUCAUUAUUUACAUAAUCGCAAGGCAGAACAUGAAGCUUUAGGUAGUAGCCUUUUGACAGGUCCAGAGGGACUUUUAACAAAAGAGCGCGAAAGCUUGAAGCAGUUGAAAUGUCUUCGGCGCUACCGCCAACGCUAUGGUGUGGAGGCCCUGCUACACCGACAAUUAAAAGAGCGCAGAAUGCUGGCCACAGAUGGGGCUGCCCAACAGGCACAUACUACUCGUUCCAGUCAGAGGUGUUUGGCUUUUGUUGACGACAUUCGUUGUUCCAACCAGUCCCUCCCGAUGACCAGACAUUGUCUGAAUCAUAUCUGUCAGGAUACCAAUCAGGUUCUCUUCAAAUGGUGUCAGGGCUCUGAGGAGGUACCCUGCAACAAACCAGUUCCUGUCAGCCUCUCAGAAGAUCCCUGUUGCCCGCUGCAUUUCCAGCUGCCACCACAGAUGUAUAAGCCUGAGCAGAUACUCUCUGUGCCAGAUGAAUUGGAGGCUGUCCCCAUGGAUAUGUACUUGAGUGCUGCUGAACUUCAGCCCACAGAGAGUUUACCUCUGGAGUUCAGUGAUUGACUUAAUCCACUCAGCUUUGGAACCACGGCCCUGGGGCAGUGCUGUCCUGAUUGGUGAGUCAGUCAAUGGCUACGUACAUGGCCCAUAUUAUCUAGUGGCCCCAGACUCUAGACCAUGCUUCACAUCCCAUCUGACCGUCCACCCUGGCCAUCUCCUUGCCAUCUGUCCUGCUGCUGCUCCCUCUGGACCACUGGACCUCCUGAGACCAUGCCCUGGGUGACUUAAUCCACACAGCUUUGGAACCACCGCUCUGGGGCCAUGCUGUUCUGAUUGGACUUGGAUGUGGUGGGUGAUGGAAUGCAGUGCCCUCCUUCUCCCUUGCUCUUUGACCCUUCACUAACCCUGGAGGAUCAUUCAAUCAAAGACAUUGCUGAAGCUCCUGUGGAUAUUCUGGCAAGUGAAGAACACCCUUAGCUAGGUGUCCCAAAUGCAGUAACACAGCCAGGCAAAGCGUUUUCUGCUGGCCAGCCUGUACCUUGGGGAGUGGGAAUAUCACAGAACCAAGUACAGGUUGCAGUAGGUGUGCCCAGGCCACAGGGAUCCCGAAAACCUGAAGAAACCACAGUUUCUGCACCAUUACCUGGAAGUGGAGUGGUUGCCACCAAUGGGAAGCCAGAACAUAUUUCUGUCAGCUGAUAGUUGCUACUGAGAAGAAAUUGACUUUGGGAGAGGUCGAAUUCUUCAUUUCCCUAAGAAAAAUUUGACUGUUCCUCACCAGAAGAGAGGGACCCAGGCUGACUUUUUUCCCCCUCUGGGCAGCUAAGCUGUAUAGUGAAUCAUAAAGCCAAAUUGUUCUGAGAAUAGAGCAAUAACUGUCUCAGCUGUGGGAUACUCUUUAAAUUGAGCAAGAUGUAUGUAAUACUACCUGUUGGGGAUCAGUUAAUAAGUUUGUGUCUAAGGGGAAGAAAAUAUCUUAAUGGAAUUCUAAAACGUUGACCAGGAAACCAGCUGGCAUGACUUCUGAAACUGGAAACUGGUUAUCCAGUAGCCUGUGUUUUCCUAGCUCCUCUUGAUCUUUCACCAAAGUGGAAUGCUAAACCGGGCAUGUCCUACUCACUCCACCCCAAAAGGACUUCAGGCGUGGACAGUCUGCAGGCUCGAACCCUUGUUAACCUUCUAGCUUCCUGCUUUUAACCAGUCUAGAGUUCUGUAGCGGUCACCUUAUGUAAGAUAAAAUAUAAAUUUUCUGUACAGAAUUUCUAUCAAAUGAUCUAAAACAAAAAGAAAGAAAAUGUACUGAAAAUGAAAAAGUCUUAUCACUUGGAA